UAAGACGGAGGGUGCUAGCGUUGUUCGGAAUGACUGGGCGUAAAGGGCGCGUAGGCGGCUUGGUCAGUUGGGUGUGAAAGCCCGGGGCUCAACCCCGGAACGGCAUCCGAUACUGCCAGGCUGGAGACCGGGAGAGGAGGGUGGAAUAUCCAGUGUAGAGGUGAAAUUCGUAGAUAUUGGAUGGAACACCAGUGGCGAAAGCGGCUCUCUGGCCCGGGUCUGACGCUGAGGCGCGAAAGCGUGGGGAGCAAACAGGAUUAGAUACCCUGGUAGUCCACGCCCUAAACGAUGUGCGCUAGAUGUUGGGGGGCUUGCCCCUCGGUGUCGGAGCUAACGUGUUAAGCGCACCGCCUGGGAAGUACGGCCGCAAGGUUA
rnacentral:rRNA from 1 species